ACUUUUUCAGAUGGAAGAAUCUAUGUGGCUCUGAAGGCACCACAAAAGGAGGGGAAAUACAUUUUACUGUAUUGGAAUUUUUUGUUAUAUAGUAAUGUAUGAUAUAUUAAACACUUAUUAUUAUUAAUAUUAUUGUUGUUGUUGUUAUUAAGAUAAGGUCAGAAGGUGUUGACUGGUUUUCUAUAAGAGCAGCUCAGGCAGUAGUUCCGGCUGUGAGGCAAAUCACAGGUUUACAUCAACACACUCGUUCUAUAUUAAUACGUUCGCGUUUCUAUGGUAACAGCUCAUUCACGGGGACUUGUACGGCAGAUGCUCCACAUUUACUUACUAAAAUAAACCUUUGAUAUGUUUAUUUAACAUUUCUGGAAGGAGUCUCCAGCGUGAGCACUUUGUAACCAUCGGAGAAACACACAUCUAUCACAGACACAACACAAUACACACUCCAACAUGGAGACUGAGACACAAACAGUUUGACGCAGUAAAGGUUAGACGGGCGAUCCCGCUGGAACGAUCUUCCCUCAUCACACAAACACAAGGUGACUCACAACAGAUCAUUAGCAUCGGGAGGACAAAAAUAAAAUGUUCCGUUGUAUAACUGCCAGCGUUGAGUUUAUGAUUUAGCCGCUCAUGCUAAUGUUUCUACAGUAUGUACACAAUCUUUUCCAUGUGAUUUACAAACACCUCUAAGGAAAACGUUGAUGUCCCUCAUGGUUUUGUCUCAUUUUCCAUUACAAAAAAAAGGGCUAUGUGCUAAAUCAAACCGAUGCUAACCUCGGGGUAAAAGUCUAGAGUUUAGAGACAAAGGUGAAGUGAAGAAAUCUGUCGUUUCGAAUUUCGAAUUCGAAUAUACUCAUCUCUAAUAAUAAUGAUACCACCAUGAGUGGCUUGUUGCUCGGCAAUAAAGUAAAAACGUUGGUUUCUAUUAAUAGUCAGUAGCAUGCAAGGUAACCUACCUAGUUUUACUUUCAAUUUAAUUUGUACAGCUUGAUAACUUUUUACAGCAAGGAAAACGGGAAAAGAUUUGUGGUUAAGAAAGAACUGAAUUACUUGUUAGCUACAUUUGCAUCGUAGCUCCAGGAGAAAUCUAAAGAAGCAAACUUCAAGCAUCAGACAUGUCUGAUUACAUUUGGGGUCAAAGUUUAAAUUAAAAAAAAUUCACCAAACUAAUCCUGGUGACACAGCGACAAAUCCAAACAAUUGUUUCUCAUCAGAAAUUAAAUGUGUGUGUGUGUGUGUGUGUGUGUGUGUGUGUGUGUGUGUGUGAGAGAGAGAGAGAGAGAGAGAAUGAGAAUUUUUAGAGAACACUAUCCCACAAGGCCCAGGCCACGCCCACAAGCAAGGAAACCGGAGAACCCAGAGGAAACCCAAACGGACACGAGGAGAACAUAUGAAACUUGAACUCAAGAUUGAACCCCGGACCCCGGAGCUGUGAGACGGCAAUGUUUCUCAAUUUCCAGAUUGUUCCGCUUUGCCACGUAGAGCUGCAGCACAUUAAUGAACCAUGAGGCCUCAAACAGAGAACCGUUCAGAUAAACGACACUUGUUCGUGCGCCUUAUAAAUAUUUUACACCGUCAUUAUUAGCUGGACAUGUAAUAACGUCCAGAUACGUUGUAAUGAUUUUUUUCCACUUUAAAUAAUACUGUUGUAAUCACAGCUUUUCAGGAAAUGUUUGGGUUUCUGUCUGCUGAGAAAGAGAGAGAGAGAGAGAGAGAGAGAGAGAGAGAGAAUAAAAAAAGCUGUGACAAAUAGUGUUAACUAGCCAGCUAGCAAUUUGUAAAUAAGGGUAUUAUUAGCAGUUAAGUAACCAGCUAGCUAUUUGUAAAUAAGGGUAUAAUUAGCAGUUAACUAGCCAGCUAGCUAUUUGUAAAUAAAGGUAUUAGUAGCAGUUAAGUAACCAGUUAGCUAUUUGUAAAUAAGGGUAUUAUUAGCAGUUAAGUAACCAGCUAGCUAUUUGUA